AUCCUAUGACCGUGAAAUUGACCAAAAUGGAUUGUGAAUUUGGUAGGGCCCUAAGCAUGAUCAUAACCAUCCCAAAGUGUUUGUACAGCAGGGAGGGAAGGAACACAAAAUGGAGAAAUUGCCCGCCUGUGCACAGAAGCAUAGAGUCCACUUACCCACUUUGUGCACAAACCUGCAAGUCUUUAGGGGUCAGAGAAUAUUGUAACAACAUUUCCAGAAAGAUCAAGGGGCAUUGUAAGCCAUCAAUUGCAGUGUUCUUCUGAAUAGUAUGAGCUGGCUUUUGGCAUGAGAUGAUACUGUUUGCAUUUUAAAAAACCCUGCGAGUGCAAUUCAGUUGUGCUGCAAUGUAAGUUGUAGAGCUGUCAAUGGAAGUUUAACAUGGUCAGUAGCCCAAACCGUAUUGGUUGCCGAGCUUCUUGUCUGCAAAAUGCAGGUGAGAUAUAAACUGACAUGGUGGGAUCUCAGAGAGGGGGGGGGGGUGCAUGAAGAUCUAAAGCAGGACAAGGCUGAGGACGAUCUGGAAUGUAGGCAAGGUCUGUCUGUCAACUGGCCUUAAAUUGGUAUUGUUGGGUUUUAAAGCCAGUCUUUCAUUCUAGACUGCAGCAUAAAGAACCUAAGAUCAUAGUAGUUCAAACCGUUGAGCAGCAUGUUGCAGGAUUCUGAAUCGGCAAAUGAUAUGUAGGCCUUUUCAGAGGAACUACAGUAAUCCUGUGGUUCUGAGAACAUGUAUUUUUCUGUUUUGAGGUCCUUAAUGGCUAAAUAAGGGCUCAUCCUCUGCAUAGCAUGCAUUUGGGAAAAAAUAACUUCAGACAAUAGGGACGACAUUCCAUGGAAAGAGCAUGGCAGAAAAUGAAGCCAGGAUUUUUAAUGUGCAGGCUACCUCAGAAUGAAUCCCUUCAAGUAUGAUUGUUGUGUUACCUUUACCCAGCACCAAGGCUUGUUUUCAGGAGUUUAAGGACAAGGUAGCUCUGAUUUACCCAUUGGUAAUAUGUCCAAACGUUCUUUCAGAACAGAUAUGGAAUGUACAGGAUCUGUGAGGCAAGAGGAAUUCAGUUGAUUGCCCAGUAUUUAGAAAUCUGCUAGAGGCCUCAUUUGCAUUGAACAAACAGCUAGGAUGAUGUUUUGGGGAAAUCCAUCUUGAUGUUCUGGCUUUACAUAGCAGUGAGUCUACAGUCAUUCUUGUGGCUCUUCUCUGAACCUUCUUCAGUUUAUCAACAUCUUCCUUGAAUUGUGGACACCAGAACUGGACAGAGUAUUCCAGCAAUUUUUGCACCGGUGCCACUUAUUAUAGAUUAACUGCUUCCAAGGAUAGAGUCCCUCCUCCUACUUCAUCAGUGACACAAAACGAUCUCCUUUCCUCCAUCCUGCUAUAAGAGAUGUGUGGACAUACAAGUUCUUGAAUGCUUUUCUCAGUACAAGGGCUUCUUAACAGGAACACUUUGGAACAGAAUCCACAGUGUGUGUCCCUCCUUUUAAAAUUAUUUUUCAUUGUCUGCAGCAAAUGAUUUUGUUUUUUUAAAUGUCCUAGUUUUGGUCCUCACAUCAGCCAACAGUGCCGCUCAAUAUCUUUCCAGAGAAACAAAUCCUGUAAGAAAACCAACAUGUUCUUAAAUCUAGUGAGGUUAGUAAUGUGUGAUGUAACUUCUGUAGGAAAUUUGAUAUUUUUUUGACUCCAUACUGUCAGCAUCAAAAAUGUUAGGUAAUUUACGCACAGCAGAACAAAGCGUGAAAACAUUCUCUCAAAUAAUGUUGAUUAUUGCAUGGUACAAUUGGUGUAAGUGGCGCUAUACAGCUUUGCAGUUUACAGAAGGCUAUUGUCUAUGUAUGCAAAUAUUGGGGAAAUUGUAUAUUAAAAUAGUAACUUCUAACCUUCUUAGUCCUGCAAGUUCAUGUAUUGCUAGUAUAUUACAUGUAUUGUGGUCAUGCUGUUUUAAUAUUAAACGUUAAUAAAGUUAACUCUUUAUCUUUUCAUAUUCUCAGUUUUCUGGCCCUUUACUCGAGCAAGUAAUGCCAUUAACCUGGUGGAGGGAUCAAGCACCAUGUUUGAAAGUAGAAUGUGUCCCACUUAAUUUCUGCAAGGUUCCCCAGUAUUUCCUUACAAAUGUCAGUACUGAACCAACAACUCUUCUCUGAAAGGGCCUUAUACCAAUGCUAGUGAAGUCCAAAUUGAGGUUUCUUUCCAUUUUCCUAUUCUGUGUUAUGUCAAAUGAGCAGUUUAUUGCAUUUCCAGAAGGAGAAACAAAUCUAGAGGAAGAGAUAUCAAUAUUCUAAAACAGUGGUUCUCAACCUAUUUACCAUUAUGGGCCCUAUAUGCAGCUCUCUGUGUUAUGUGGGCCACAUCCAUAGAAUACAUAUAUGACCCUGUAUGGCCCUAAGGAUGUCACAUAAGAAUGGCUCUACUGGAUCAGACUAAAGGUCCAUCUAGCCCAGUAUCCUGUCUUCAGACAGUAGCCAAUGCCAGGUGCCCCAGAGGGAAUAAACAGAACAGGGAAUCGUCCAGUGAUCCAUCAUCUGUCGCCCAUUCCCAGCUUCUGGCAAAUAUAGGCUAGGGACACGAUUCCCGCCCAUCCUGGCUAGUAGCCGUUGAUGGACCUAUCCUCCAUGAAUUUAUCUAGUUCUUUUUUGAACCCUGUUAUGGUCUU